UACGGGGGGGGCAAGCGUUGUUCGGAAUUACUGGGCGUAAAGGGCUCGUAGGUGGCCAACUAAGUCAGACGUGAAAUCCCUCGGCUUAACCGGGGAACUGCGUCUGAUACUGGAUGGCUUGAGUUCGGGAGAGGGAUGCGGAAUUCCAGGUGUAGCGGUGAAAUGCGUAGAGAUCCGGAGGAACACCAGCGGCGAAGGCGGCAUCCUGGACUGGUCCUGACACUCAGGAGCGAAAGCGUGGGGAGCGAACCGG
rnacentral:rRNA from 1 species